rnacentral:rRNA from 1 species
UACAGAGGGGGCAAGCGUUGUUCGGAAUUACUGGGCGUAAAGGGCGCGUAGGUGGCCUGUGGAAGUCUGCGGUGAAAGCCCGGCGCUCAACGCCGGGUCUGCCGUGGAUACUCUCGGGCUCGAGCUUACUAGAGGCAGAUGGAAUUCCGGGUGUAGCGGUGGAAUGCGUAGAGAUCCGGAAGAACACCGGUGGCGAAGGCGGUCUGCUGGGGUAAUGCUGACACUGAUGCGCGACAGCGUGGGGAGCAAACAGG